UUUGAAACAAAGGGGUGCCCCGCUGAAAAGCGGGGCUGAGAUCAAACCCUUGGAACCUGAUCUGGAUAAUGCCAGCGUAGGGAAAAAAGUUGCGAUGCAA
rfam:Candidate division Zixibacteria bacterium RBG-1 RBG1_1C00001, whole genome shotgun sequence.